UACGUAGGGGGCAAGCGUUGUCCGGAAUCAUUGGGCGUAAAGAGCGUGUAGGCGGCCCGAUAAGUCCGCUGUGAAAGUCCAGGGCUCAACCCUGGAAUGCCAGUGGAAACUGUCGGGCUAGAGUCCGGAAGAGGCGAGUGGAAUUCCUGGUGUAGCGGUGAAAUGCGUAGAUAUUUGGAGGAACACCAAUGGCGAAGGCAGCCCCCUGGGUUAACACUGACGCUCAUGCACGAAAGCGUGGGGAGCAAACAGG
rnacentral:rRNA from 1 species